AUCGAACGCUGGCGGCAGGCCUAACACAUGCAAGUCGAACGAGUGGCGGACGGGUGAGUAAUGCCUGGGAAACUGCCCGAUGGAGGGGGAUAACUACUGGAAAAGGUAGCUAAUACCGCAUACCAUCGUAUGUGCCCAGAGGGGAUGAGCUAGUAGGUGGGGUAACGGCUCACCUGGGCGACGAUCCCUAGCUGGUCUGAGAGGAGGACCGGCCACACUGGAACGGAGACAGGGUCCAUACUCCUACGGGAGGCGGCAGGGGGAAAUAUUGGACAAUGGGCGCAGUCCUGAGGAGGCCAUGCCGCUUGUAUGAAGAGGGCCUUCGGGUUGUAAAUGACUUUUAGCGAGGAGGCGUUACUCGCAGAGGAAGCACCGGCUAACUCCGUGCCAGCAGCCGCGGUAAUUC
rnacentral:rRNA from 1 species